GACGAACGCUGGCGGCGUGCUUAACACAUGCAAGUCGAACGAUGAAGCAAAGAAUCGAAGCUUCGGCAGAAAUUCAUUUCGGAUUAGUGGCAGACGGGUGAGUAACGCGUGGGCAACCUACCUCUUACAAAGGGAUAGCCUCGGGAAACCGGGAUUAAUACCAUAUAACAUUGCGACGAAGCAUUUCGAUGCAAUCAAAGCUACGGCGGUAAGAGAUGGGCUCGCGUCCCAUUAACCGGAUGGUGAGGUAACGGCUCACCAUAGUGACGAUGGGUAACCGGCCUGAGAGGGGGAACGGUCACACUGGAACUGAGACACGGUCCAGACUCCUACGGGAGGCAGCAGUGGGGAAUAUUGCACAAUGGAGGGAACUCUGAUGCAGCGACGCCGCGUGAGUGAUGAAGGAAUUCGUUUCGUAAAACUCUGUUCUAUGGGAAGAAAAGGACUGUACCAUAGGAGAAAGCUCCGGCUAAAUACGUG
rnacentral:rRNA from 1 species